rnacentral:rRNA from 1 species
CCUACGGGUGGCAGCAGUCGAGAAUCAUUCACAAUGGGGGAAACCCUGAUGGUGCGACGCCGCGUGGGGGCAUGAAGGUCUUCGGAUUGUAAACCCCUGUCAUGUGGGCGCAAAUUAAAAAGAUAGUACCACAAGAGGAAGAGACGGCUAACUCUGUGCCAGCAGCCGCGGUAAUACAGAGGUCUCAAGCGUGGUUCGGAAUCACUGGGCGUAAAGCGUGCGUAGGCUGUUUCGUAAGUCGGGUGUGAAAGGCGCGGGCUCAACCCGCGGACGGCACAUGAUACUGCGAGACUAGAGUAAGGGAGGGGGAACCGGAAUUCUCGGUGUAGCAGUGAAAGGCGGAGAUAUCGAGAGGAACACUCGUGGCGAAGGCGGGUUCCUGGACAUUAACUGACGCUGAGGCACGAAGGCCAGGGGAGCGAAAGGGAUUAGAUACCCCUGUAGUC